AAAGUAAGUUGUCUUAUCGCUUCAAAUUGAAGAGGAAAGUCCGGACAAUAUAGGGCAUUAUACUUCCUAACAGGAAGGUCUCUAACGGGAACAGAUAGUGCAACAGAAAAAAUACCGCCUAAAUUUAGGUAAGGGUGAAAAGGUAGUGUAAGAGACUACCGAUUAAAUAGCAAUAUUUAAUGCUUUGUAAACCUUAUAAAUUGAAAGAUCAAGCAGUUCGAGUGUAUUUUUUACAGUUAGUUGCCCGCUAAGAUUCGAACGGGUAGAUCGAUUGAACUUGGUAGUGAUAUCAGGUCUAGAUAAAUGAUAAGAAUCUGAUUUAUCAGAUACAGAAUCCGGCUUAUAGACUUACACUAUUU
rnacentral:RNase_P_RNA from 1 species